rnacentral:rRNA from 1 species
UUUAUGGAGAGUUUGAUCCUGGCUCAGAGUGAACGCUGGCGGCGUGCCUAAUACAUGCAAGUCGAACGAUGAAGCUUCUAGCUUGCUAGAAGUGGAUUAGUGGCGCACGGGUGAGUAAGGUAUAGUUAAUCUGCCCUACACAAGAGGACAACAGUUGGAAACGACUGCUAAUACUCUAUACUCCUGCUUAACACAAGUUGAGUAGGGAAAGUUUUUCGGUGUAGGAUGAGACUAUAUAGUAUCAGCUAGUUGGUAAGGUAAUGGCUUACCAAGGCUAUGACGCUUAACUGGUCUGAGAGGAUGAUCAGUCACACUGGAACUGAGACACGGUCCAGACUCCUACGGGAGGCAGCAGUAGGGAAUAUUGCGCAAUGGGGGAAACCCUGACGCAGCAACGCCGCGU